rnacentral:lncRNA from 1 species
AUGUAUUUUGAAAGGCCCGAAAAAAGUUAUAUAUUUAACAGUUUUAUAUGUUGUACCUUUGUAGAGAAGCUUAUUGGACUUAAAAAUUGUGGUCGCAAUGGCGGUUUAGUAGGUUGUGAACAAACGCUGUUGUUCCCGUCACUGCUGGCUCGUAGUCCCCGGGUUUUUUCGGUUCACACCUCAGUAGCCGCUUUCUUUUCAUGGCCAUCGACGAGUCACUGUCUAUCCCAAACCAUUCAUGGAAAGAAGAAGAAGAAGAAGAAGAAGAAGAAGAAGAAGAGGAAGAAGAAGAUGGGUACACAGAAAACAAAUUAGAAACUUUGUGUACACCCACACAAAUGACUGCCGAGUCCCGCUGUGCAGCUGAGGUCAUUAUUUCAUAUUAAACCUGAUAGCGUGGCCCUAUUUUAAUAAAUGAGCGCCCGAGUUUGAGUCUGUGAUUCCGCGAGUGGAGUCCGGGGGGGACGCGCCUGAUGUCACCGCAGUAAAUUCAAGGCCCGCGUCAGCAGCUUUUUAACCCCUAGACCAGUGGCUCCGUCGCCGCCACGGGGCGGUUGACCAACACCGAGCCGCACGACUCACAAGGUCACUGAGGGGAACUCUUUCACAGGAGGCGCAGAGACCAAGGCAGCGGAGUCUGAACAUCGCUGCACCGCACCUGCACGUGACACAUACCAAACACACCACGAGGGAAAGGGCCCCCCCCACCCCCUGUGAAAUCUGUGCUUGAUCAUGAUUAGCGUUGUGCUUUUAUAAUACUUAAAGGACUCGGAGGAACAUCUUCAUCAAAUUAACUGCUCUGAUUUAUUCCCCUUCCAAUUACUUUGGAAGGGGAACUACUUCCACUACUUCCGAUAACAAUUUAUCUAUAAAAACAAAAUGUAUCCAAUAUCUUGUCCCAAUUCUAAAAUAAACAGUUCAUUCACCAAUUUUCCCCUUAAUGUUAAAAAAACCCAAAAACUUGUUAUGUUGCAUUUUGUAUCUAUUCUGACCAAAUAUUUAUCCAUCACAGAGCUCAGGUGUGACGACUAAUCGUGCUAUGUGCAUGAAAAAUCGUUUCAUAAUUUCUAUUGUAUCAUAUCACUCCACAACGUUUCCACGACGACUAAAACUGGAACAUUCUGAAAAGUCAGCCCCGGUUCAGUAAAAAAAGAAAAGAAAAAAAGGCUCAUAUCAUGACACAAUUAAGGAUGAUCACUAAUAUUGUUCAUAUCAUUAUUAGCUUUCACUCCACUGCAGCGGGUGAAUGUCUCAUUGUUGUUGCAGAACUGCUGAGCUACGGCAGCAAUUUGCCUCCGUCCACAUGAGUCAGAAAAAAAAAGAAAAAAGGACCUUACCCUAACAAAAGUCAAUCUGUGCGCUUUAUCACGCCGUCAGACGUUACAAGGAGAGGCUCAAUAACCGCUGGAACGCGGCACGCACAGGUCCGUGCACGGACGGACUAUUUUUUUGUUAGCCUUGCACGACGGUUAAGAACAGAAUCCCCUGCAGUAUUGGCGCGUGACACGCAGAAUAAAUGGAAGACGGCAGAAUUUCACAACCACUCCUAUUGUGCAAACCUCUUUUAUUAACAAUGGGUUCAUGGCCGUACAUGAUUUAUAGAUUGUAAAUGUGUGAGGAGGGAGAUGGGACGCGAGGCGCACCGUGUUCUUACUCAGACUUUUAAAAAAGGUAAAAAAAAAGAAGAAAAAAGCAAUGAAUGAGUAAAACAGGAUGUGGAUUUGAAUAAAAAAGAAAAAAAACAACCCGCAAAGUUAAAGGGCA